AAUCAACGCUGGCGGCGUGCCUAACACAUGCAGGUCGAACGCGAAAACCCCGAAAGGGGUGAGUAGAGUGGCAAACGGGUGAGUAACACGUGGGUGACCUGCCUUAGAGUGGGGGAUAACGUCCCGAAAGGGACGCUAAUACCGCAUAACAUCCUGCCUUUGAAGAGGUGGCGAUCAAAGCUGGGGACCGCAAGGCCUAGCGCUCAAAGAGGGGCCCGCGCCUGAUUAGCUAGUUGGUGGGGUAAGGCUCACCAAGGCAACGAUCAGUAUCCGGCCUGAGAGGGCGGACGGACACACUGGGACUGAGACACGGCCAGACUCCUACGGGAGGCAGCAGUGGGGAAUUGUUCGCAAUGGGCGCAAGCCUGACGACGCAACGCCG
rnacentral:rRNA from 1 species